rnacentral:rRNA from 1 species
GAUGAACGCUGGCGGCGUGCUUAACACAUGCAAGUCGAACGGGAAUUACAUUUUAGCUUGCUAAGUUGUAAUUCUAGUGGCGGACGGGUGAGUAACGCGUGGGUAACCUGCCUUAUACCGGGGGACAACAGUUGGAAACGACUGCUAAUACCGCAUAAGCGCACGGGAAGGCAUCUUUCUGUGUGAAAAACUCCGGUGGUAUAAGAUGGACCCGCGUCUGAUUAGCCAGUUGGCGGUGUAACGGACCACCAAAGCGACGAUCAGUAGCCGGCCUGAGAGGGCAAACGGCCACAUUGGGACUGAGACACGGCCCAAACUCCUACGGGAGGCAGCAGUGGGGAAUAUUGCACAAUGGAGGAAACUCUGAUGCAGCGACGCCGCGUGAGUGAAGAAGUAUUUCGGUAUGUAAAGCUCUAUCAGCAGGAAAGAAAAUGACGGUACCU